CAAUAGCGUAUAUUAAAGUUGUUGCGGUUAAAAAAGCUCGUAGUUGGAUUUCUGCCGAGGACGACCGGUCCGCCCUCUGGGUGAGCAUCUGGCUCGGCCUGGGCAUCUUCUUGGAGAACGUAUCUGCACUUGACUGUGUGGUGCGGUAUUCAGGACUUUUACUUUGAGGAAAUUAGAGUGUUUCAAGCAGGCAUACGCCUUGAAUACAUUAGCAUGGAAUAAUAAGAUAGGACCUCGGUUCUAUUUUGUUGGUUUCUAGAUCUGAGGUAAUGAUUAAGAGGGACAGACGGGGCAUUGCGUACUGGGCCGCCAGAGGUGAAAUUCUUUAACUGGCUCAUGACGAACCACUGCGAAAGCAUUUGCCAAGAAUGUUUUCAUUAAUCAAGAACGAAAGUCAGAGGGUCGAAGACGAUCAGAUACC
rnacentral:rRNA from 1 species